rnacentral:misc_RNA from 1 species
GAUGAAGAACGUAGUGAAAUGCGAUAAGUAAUGUGAAUUGCAGAAUUCAGUGAAUCAUCGAAUCUUUGAACGCACCUUGCGCCUUUUGGUAUUCCGAAAGGCACACCUGUUUGAGCGUCAUGAAUACCUCAAUCUCCAUCUUUUCUUCGGAUUGAUGGGUGACUUGGAUGUUGAGCCCUGCUGGUAUGCUAUAUCAGCUGGCUUUAAACUUAUUAGCCGGCUCUGUACUGGAUCGGUUUGACUCGACGUGAUAAUAUUAUCGUUGAGGAUGCAUGUCUCAUGCAGCCGGAAAGUAUCAAAGCAGCUUCUAGCUUGCCUUUAGUGCACUUUUACAUUUUAGACCUCAGAUCAGGUGGGACUACCCGCUGAACUUAAGCAUAUCAAAAGCGGAGGA